UCAGUGUUUUUUUUUUGGUAUACCAUUGUAUUAUCUGCUUAAGCAGGAAUUUUGUCAAAGACGUUUUGUUUCUCGUUGCGUGAAGGGGAGAUCUGUGAGUCUUCGGUUUGUCCAUCAGUGGAAGUAGUACAGCAGUAUUUAUGCCAUGAGCACUCCAAAGUGUCCCAGCUGUCAGGGGUCUGAUUGUGCAAUGGAUGGUCAGCGAGCGGUCUGCAGGUCUUGCAGUAAAAGUAAUCGGCGUGUAUUUCAGUUCUGUGUGGCCUGUCAAAGAGAAUGGCCACGAAAUGAUUCAGACAAAUACGCCUGCAUGCUGCCAGACUGUGCUCUCCGUGCCGCCCUCCUCAGCGACAAAAAAAUCAGUGACUCACUCAGCUCAGUGCGCGGAUGCCCAUUUUUCAGGGCCUGUCCAGGAUGCAAGGCCCUGCUAACUCACAGUGGGUUAGGCUGUCCCAACAUCAUCUGCCCUCACUGUAAUACAAGGUUUUGCUUUCGCUGUCUCCUUAUAAGGCGAUUUGGGAUGAGUAAUAUUGAAGACCGUGGUCUUCUUACUCGUCAACUGUUUUUAAUUCAUGAGCAUGACAUGACUCCAUGUAGAGUGGUAGACAACAAGUUGAGUCUUGUAUUGUUAGGAAAGAAAGAAAAAAAAAGUUAUGAAGAUUAGGUCCGCACAAUAUAUGGAAAAAAAGAUUGACAUUAGUAUAAUUUU